AUGCAGCCGCCGCCCCAGGCCGUCCCUUCGGGCGUGGUCGGGCCGCCUCCGUCGGGGAGUCCUCAGACUAUGUUCUGGUCUAACAGCCCUUACAGGAGACAGGCCGGCAGUCACACUCCGAUGGCCCCGAUAACCUGCCCACUGCAGCCAGUGACAGAUCCUUUUGCUUUCAGUCGACAGGCUCUCCAGAGUACAUCGCUGGGCGGUUCGUCUAAAAGCAGCCCGCCCAUUUUGCAAGGCCCACCCCCGCCAUCAUCCCUGCAGCGUGCUGGUCUGCCCGUGCCUCACACAAACACUGGGGACAGCUCCCAAGGGCCCUGCGAACCUCUGCCAGGGCCUCCGGUGCAGCCCAGGGCAGAUGCCAGCCCAUUUCCCGGGGCGCCGAUGCCCUCGGCCUCACAUGGGCCCGAGACGAACAGGAGUGCCAAGGCUCCCGGCCCAGAGCCUGAGCUCCCGAACCCGCCGUACCCUCCACAGUACAUUCCAGCAGUGGGGUCCAGUGGCUCUCGUGGGGGCCUUCCGCAGGGGCACGUGCCUCGGCCUGACAGACCCCUGAGCCGGCCGAGCCCCCCCGACAGUGCCGCACCCCCAGCAGCACUCCCGCUCCCCCCUCAGCCCUGCCAGCAAGUGCCUGGGCAGUGGGGGCCAGGGCAGGGAGGCCCACGGCCCCCGGGUCAGCAGUACUGGCCUGGCCCAGAGGGACCCCCGCAGGUCCCAGGGCCCCAUGCCUCCAGCGUCACCCACUUUCCCCCUCUGUCCAGCCUGCAUCAGCAUCCUGGCCACGAGCAGCUCGGCCCCCCGGCAUCCUUACCAGGACCCUCAGCCAGUGACGGAAGAAACGAGGCCGUCUGCCUGCCCAGUGGAGACCACUCAGCAAAUAGCUUUGAUCCAGAGAGCGCGUUCAGGCAGAAUUCCAGAGUUGGAAAUGCUCGGGCAAACCAGGAGCUCAGGUCGAGUCCUGGAGUGAACAGAGAGCAGCUGUCGGGCCUGGCUGCCGUUAGCCCGCUUGCUCAGGGAAACGGCCUGGAAAGCCACUCGCACUGCUCGCCGGGGGCCGGGGGCGCCUGGACCCCACUGGAGGCGGGCUCGGGCGCACUUGCCAUGUUUUUCAAAGGAGGAGAGACAGAGAACGAAGAGAACCUCUCGUUGGAAACAGCGGGCUCUGCCGGGCAGGCCGACGUGGACGGUUUCUGCCUCGGCCAGCUUCCCGCACAUGUGGGCGCAGGAGGUGCUCACCAGGCCUUUCCCAGAGGCUCCAGCAGCGAGCCCACGCAGCUGGGGGGAGAGCCACAGCCCUACUUCCCUCAGUCUGCAGGUAGCCCUCACGAGAAAGCAGCCUCUAAGGUGGCCACCGUGGAUGUGUGGGCGGACACGGCCCGUGCAGGGGCUCAGUACGAGAAUGUUGAGAACCUGGAGUUUGUUCAGAACCAGGAAGUUCUGCCGAGCGAGCCCCUCAGCAUGGAUCCUUCCUCCCCAGGCGAUCCGCUCAGGUGCGGGCCCCUUCCUGGCCCAGCUGGCCCCAGGCUCGGUGCGGUGGGCCCUGUGGGAGGCGGGGGCCUGAAUCUCGAGGCCCUGGAUAUGACAACGCGCCCUGCACGGUCUGACAGCGUGUCGUCCGGUUACAGCGGCAAGAGCCACCGGGGCCUUCCAGGUGCCAGGCUCCGCGACUCGGGUACCUUCAUUCAACAGGAAGUGGGAAAACCUGAGGAUGAGUCUCCAGGGAGGUUUUUUAAGCAGAUCGAUUCUUCUCCUGUCGGUGGCGAGACAGACGAGACCAGCAGCCAGAACUACCUCGGCAGCCUGUCCCAGCCCUCGACCCCAAGCCCCCCAAAACCUACGGGGCUGUUUCAGACGAGUGCAAACAGUUCUUUUGAACCUGUGAAAUCCCACUUGGUUGGAGUAAAGCCCGUUGAGGCAGAUCGCGCCAAUGUGGUGGGGGAGGUGAGGGGGCCCAGUGCCCGCCAGCAGCACAGGGCCGCCGCUGCCACGCCUGAUGCCGCCCCUGGCAACUUGGAGCAGCCCCCCGACAACAUGGAGACCCUCUUCCCGCCGCAGCGCUGUGUGCCACCUCUCGCCACCCCCCUGGAGGCCGGACGUGGGCUUCUGCAGGCCACGGGGCCGCCCUUGGAAACGGUGCUGCCAACACCCGAGAAGAGGCCCUCGACUAGGGUGCAGGGGCCUGUGAAGUGUGAGAGCCCCGCAACGACCCUGUGGGCACAGAACGAGCUCCCAGAUUUUGGGGGCAAUGUCCUUCUGGCCCCAGCGGCUCCCGCGCUUCACGUGCCAGUGAAACCUCAGCUGUCUGAAGUGAUCCAGCCCCCAGAUGAGGGGGCGGCACGGCAGGUGGGCUCUGGCGGUCAGAGUGGGGAUGGCCUUGGAGCUUCUGAGAACCUGGAGAACCCUCCGCAGCUUGGCGAAGAGGAGGCCCUCCCGCCGCAGGCUGGCCCCAGCUAUGCCAGCCUGCUGUCCUCCCCACCCGCUGAGUCUUUGCAGAAUCAGCCCAUCUUGAUCGCCCAGCCCGAUCAAGGCUAUAGUCUGGCUCAGCCUGUUAACGUUUCUCUGUCCUUACCAAAUCCUAACGAGAAGGCUCCAUCCUGGAGAGACUCUUCGGUGGGAGAUAAGCCUAUAGUCAGCGGCCGGGCUGCCGGGGGUGAUCCUGGAGAGAGUGCACCUUUGUCUGGGAUGCCAGCUAGCUCUCUCAUCUGCUCGCCUCUGCCUAACCAUCUGGCUCAGAGUCCUUUUCCACAAGUUUCUAGUACCUAUGACAUGGUUUCUAAUCAAGCUGCUAAUUUGCUGGUUCAACCGCACUCUCAUCCAAAUGCCUUGCUUCCAGAAGGUCAGAAGGUCCACAGCGCAGAGAGUGUGCCUCCUGAGGAGGUGCCCAGUCCUGCGGGGGGUGCAGGCCUGGUGUUAGUGCCGCCUGCAAGUAGCACCUCCCUGCCUGACAACAGCAAGCCGGGCCUCUGUGGCAGGCGGGACGGAGCUUCGGGAGCCCUGGACUUCAUGUUUGGUAGGGCUUUGGAAAAUCCUGCAGGAGUGUACAGCCUGGCCCACGUGGAUGGCCCAGCCUCUGUUCAGCCGCCCGCUGCCAGUCGUCAGCCGCCUGGGCCUGGGGCGAACACCCCGGACCGUUUCUAUCAGCAGGUGAUGAAAGAGGCUCAUGACCAGCCUGGUGCAGAGAGAGCCCAGCAGGAGCUGGCACUGCCACUGCCUGCUCCGCAGGGGCCCAGAGCAGUGCUUCCGGAGCCGUCCAACCCGGGGAGUCCCCCGGUGCAGGCACAGCCUGCGGACCCGGCCCGGCCCGCAAGCCCAGCUGCUGCUGACGCGGGUCAGCAGCUGCUGCCCCGGCCACCUCGGUCCUCCAGCGCCUCUGUUGUGUCCACCAGCUCGGGCCAGGCGGCCCUACGGCCCGACCAGCAGUGGCUGCAGCCCCCGCCUCCCGACCUGGCAUCCUACUUCUACUACAGGCCCUUGUAUGACGGCUACCAGCCCCCAUACCCGUACUCCGCAUACCCGCCGGACCCUGGCCCAGCCCCCCACUAUUACCAGGACAUCUAUGGCCUCUACGACCCCAGGUACAGGCCCUGUGACAGCGCUGCCUACAUGGAUCCCUGCCGCUACCCCGAGCCCGAGCGGCCCAGCUCCCGGGCCAGUCACUGCUCCGACCGCCCGGCCGCCAGGCAAGCGUAUCCUGAAGGUUACUAUAAUUCCAAAAGCGGAUGGAGCAGUCAGAGUGAUUACUAUGCAGGUUGCUAUUCCAGCCAGUACGAUUACAGAGACCCAGGUCGCUGGGAUCGGCUCUACUACAGCUCCCGGUUCAGGGAUCCCCGUUCCUACGACCGGAGGUACUGGUACGAUGCGGAGUAUGACUCGUGCAGGAAGGAGAGCUAUGCCUGUGGCGACAGGCCCGAGAAAUACGACGACCGCUACAGGUACGACCCCCGCUUCACCGGGAGCUUUGACGAUGAGCCCGAGCCACCCCGGGACCCUUACGGGGAGGAGGCAGACCGGCGCAGCGAGCACAGCGAGCACUCGGCACGGAGCCUGCGCAGUGCGCCCAGCCUGCAGAGCCGCCGCAGCAGCUUCAGCGCCCACUCCCAACAGAGUCAGGUGUACCGGAGUCACAACGUGCCCUCCGGGUCCUACGAGGUGCCCCCGCCGCCGGGCUCCUUCCAUGGCGAUUACGCCUACGGCCCCUACGUGAGCGACUUCCACGGUGCGCCAGGCUUUCCAGAGUACGGCUACCCCACCGAGGCCAGCUGGCCCUCCGUGGAGCAAGCUCCGUCGAGACCCUCUUCUCCCGAGAAGUUCUCGGUGCCUCACGUCUGUGCCAGGUUUGGUCCUGGGGGCCAGCUCAUCAAAGUGAUUCCAAACCUGCCUUCAGAAGGACAGCCUGCACUGGUUGAAAUUCACAGCAUGGAGACCCUGCUGCAGCACACGCCGGAGCAGGAGGAGAUGCGGGCCUUCCCAGGACCUCUCGGCAAAGAUGACACCCAUAAAGUGGAUGUUAUUAAUUUUGCACAGAACAAGGCUACAAAGUGUUUGCAGAAUGAAAACUUAAUAGACAAAGAGUCUGCGAGUCUCCUCUGGAGCUUUAUCGUCCUGCUGUGCAGGCAGAACGGGACCGUGGUGGGCACAGACAUUGCAGAGCUCUUGUUACGAGACCACCGAACCGUUUGGCUUCCUGGGAAGUCGCCGAAUGAGGCCAACCUGAUCGAUUUCACCAACGAGGCCAUGGAGCAGGUGGAGGAGGAGGAGUCCGGCGAGGCCCAGCUCUCGUUCCUCACGGACAGUCAGGCCGCCAGCACCCUCGAGAAGGACACGGAGCGGUUCCGGGAGCUGCUGCUCUACGGCCGCAAGAAGGACGCCUUAGAGUCUGCGAUGAAGAGCGGCUUAUGGGGUCACGCCUUGUUACUCGCCAGUAAGAUGGACAGCCGGACACACGCCAGAGUCAUGACUAGGUUCGCCAACAGCCUUCCGAUAAACGACCCCCUGCAGACCGUCUACCAGCUGAUGUCAGGGCGGAUGCCGGCCGCGUCCACGUGCUGUGGGGAUGAGAAGUGGGGAGACUGGCGGCCACACCUGGCCAUGAUCUUGUCCAACCUGAGCAGCAACGUGGACGUGGAGUCUCGAGCCGUGGCCGCGAUGGGCGACACCCUGGCCUCCAAAGGGCUCCUCGACGCCGCGCACUUCUGCUACCUCAUGGCCCAGGUCGGAUUUGGGGUGUACACCAAAAAGACCACAAAGCUCGUCUUAAUUGGGUCAAACCACAGUUUGCCAUUUUCAAAGUUCGCGACCAACGAAGCGAUCCAGAGGACAGAAGCCUAUGAGUACGCGCAGUCCCUGGGGGCGCAGGCCUGCUCCCCUCCCAGCUUCCAGGUGUUCAAGUUCAUCUAUUGCUGCCGCCUGGCCGAGAUGGGGCUGGCCGCGCAGGCCUUCCACUACUGCGAGGCGAUCGCCAAGAGUGUCCUGGCGCAGCCCCACAGACACUCGCCGGUGCUGCUCCGCCAGCUGGUGCAGGUCGCCUCCCAGUUGCGCCUCUUUGACCCUCAGCUGAAGGAGAAGCCGGAGGAGGAGGCGUCUGCGGAGCCCGCCUGGCUGGUCCAGCUGCAGCUCGUGGAGAGACGGGUUGAGGAGGGCGCUGUGGCCUGGAGUCAGGACGGAGCCUGCCCCCAGCGCUGCCCCAGCUCGCCAAGCCCUGAGGUGGGGCCCCGUGAUGGCCCGGGACCCAGCCAGCCAGCGGGCCUGGGCGCCGACAACCCGCUGCUGGCCCCGCCGGUGCCCAGCACCAAGCUCUUCAGCCAGGACGUGCGGCAGCUGCCCUCAGCUCCUUCGGCGCUCCCCGCCGGCCCAGCGGCCAUCCCCGCGCAGGUGCCCAUGUUCCCUGUGCCACUGCCGGCUCCUGUCGAGCUAGAGCCUGUGCACGGCCCCCCAGGGGCUGUACCUGGCUUUCAAGAGCCCUCUGGGCCUGACCCUGUGGCCCUGUAUCCCGGACCUGGGGUGCCACCUCUCCAGGAGACAGACUGCCUGUUCCCGGAGGCCAGGAGCCAGGACGCAGGGGCGGUGCCGCAGGAAACGCCCGGCAGAAGCUCGCUUUCGGAGCCGGGAGAGGAGGAGUUUGGUGGGAGCUUUGCUAAUAUGGGCUCCUUCAGGACCUCGCCGGGUUCCGAGGCGCCGCUGCAGGCCCUGCAGCCACCUGCGCCGCUGACGCCCGCGCCCGAAGUGCAGAGACCUGUCCAGGCCACCAAGAAGGAGAGCAAGGAGCCGAAGAAGAGCAGCGAAUCCUGGUUCUCUCGCUGGCUGCCUGUGAAGAAAAGGACGGAAGCUUACUUGCCAGACGACAAGAACAAAUCGAUCGUCUGGGAUGAAAAGAAGAACCGGUGGGUGGACGUCAAUGAACCGGAGGAGGAGAAGAAGGCUCCGCCCCCGCCUCCAACUGCCCUUCCCAAGGCUCCACAAGCUGCCCACCCUGGUCCCGGAGGGCCCCCCAGACCCACUGUGAACAUCUAUUCUAGAAAAGCAGCUGGAACCAGGGCACGCUACGUGGACGUUCUGAACCCGGGGGGCCCCCAGCGGAGCGAGCCGACCCUGGCUCCCACUGACCUCUUUGCACCCCUGGCCCCGCUUCCAAUUCCGGCUCACCUGUUGGGCCCAAACGCAGAUGCAGAGGAGGUGCCGUCCGCCGAGGCAGCCAGCAGGGAGGGGCCGGCCAGGCCGGAGCCCGCAUCGGAUCCCAAGGUGUUCGGGCCUGCAGUGGCGUUGCUCCCUGGACCUGAACUCCCAGCGUCUGGACUUGAUGGUCCCCAGGGAGGAGAGCUUUCGCGCUGUAGUUCACUGAGCUCGUUAUCACGGGAAGUGAGCCAGCAUUUUAACCAGAAGGACUUCCUGGGACUUGUUCGUUUGUGAAGUAGAGCCCUGGAUUUUGUAGCUGGACGCCUGCGACCUGGAGCGACCCCUAGUGCCUGCGCCCCUCCCCCACUGCUGCGGUGCAUGCCCUGGUUUUCCUGGUUUUCUGAGCCCCGUUAAAUAAUUAAACAUAGUUCUGCAGUAAGUGCCUUUGCCCUGCUUCUGUGGCGCCCUCAAAAGUGUGAUAAAGCCUACUCAGAAACAGUGUCUGUACUUGCAAACAAGCCGAGCCGCUGUGCUCGGUCAGAGGGUGAGACGGCCUCUGUGUGCUCCCCAGGCUCCUGGUGCUCUCACCCCCGCGGGGGCCCCUCCUGGGGCCGGGGUGCCCUUCUACAACCCUGCUCAGUUUGCACAAGCCCCUGCCGCCUCAGGAAGCUCAAGGACGGGGAGGAUCGGCCAGAGGAAGUACCCAGCGUUAAGCUAGAAGGGCCACGUCCUGGAGUAGCACCAGGACUGGCGAUGGCUGCCCGCCCCGAGGUCAGGCCGGCGGCCUGCGACUCCAGUCUGCCCCAACGGGCGUGAACGCAGCAACUCCGAAAUGACUUGCGGAGUGUCCGACACUAAUCCGCACCUUCGAGAUGCUGGGUGAAGAGUGACUCUUAGACCCAAAGGGGUGACUUAAGGAUCCGGCAUCUGCAGUCACCUGAGGGGGUGACACUGAGUGAAGCUGGAGGCAUCUUGGCUACAGGAGGAUUGUGCUUCUCGGUAACUAAGGCCUCAAAACCUCGCGGGGAAUCCUUGCCAAAUAGAGCCCAGGGGUCCUUUCAGACGCCAGGAGGAGACGGUGCACCUUUGACUCAGAGAGGAGCUCGCCUGCGUGCGUGCUCCCAGAGGCGGUCAGGUCAGCCCCCGCCCCACGUUGCUGAGCCUGGAAGGGUGCUUCGUCUCAGAGGAAACUGGGCUUCCUUUAGCAGCAGUUCCAUUAGGUUUUGAGAGCAGCCCUCGCUUCUGACCUGUGUUCUAUCUCCUGGAGCCAAGACGUGCCCAGCUCUGCGUGGUCUCCUGUGGCCUCACCAGGACCAGGAGGCUUCCAGCAGUCAGAGGGGUCAGCUGGGACGGAGCUGUUCUGAGCGACGGGCCCAGUGUCACAGCUGGGACUCCGGGUUUGGUUUGGGUUUUUCCGUGGACCCACCAGGCCCUGCUUCCCGUGGCCAGCCCUUGCAGCGCUGUCAGCUGACGGCCGCCUCUCACCGCUGCGUCACUUAGGGAGCUGGUAACAUCCUGAAGACAGUGGCUUGCAGCUGUUUCUUGUCUCAAGCUCCAGAGUCCGACCUUUCUGGCCCCGGACUUGUCAGUGGCUCACCUGCUGACUCAGCCUGUGAACCUGCACAGGACGAUGACCUCCUGGCGGACCCAGCUUUAAGGCUUCAUCGACUGUUCUCAAAACUGUUCACAUUCUUCUGUCUAAAGGGACUAAAGAAAAGAUUUAAAUAUUUAUAAAAAUCAUUAGGAAAUAAUUUCUGUAGAACGCUGGGGAACGUGGUUUGUUGGGUUUUAAUCCAGGUGUCGGGCUUGAGUGGGGUGGGGUGGGGUCAGCACAGGGCCCUCGGGUCCACUGGGUCGUCUCGGAAGGACCCGCAGAACGGUUUUCCAGGACGCGUCACAGAUGUGACACCUCACUGGCGGGCGGUCUCGUGUCCAGGGUCAGUGCUAGCGCGACCCCCGGGCUGAGACCUGCCCCCCCCCCCCCCCGUGGCCCUACCUGUUGUCUAUGUCGACCGCCGGCGAGUUUUGAUUCAAGAAGCUUCCUCUGAGGGGGGAGCUGCUAUUUUUCCUAAAUGCAAAUUGUUAAAUAAAAUAUUUUGCGCUCUCAAGCCCUUUCA